rnacentral:rRNA from 1 species
GACGAACCGUGCGAACGUUGUUCGGAAUCACUGGGCUUAAAGGGCGCGUAGGCGGGCUAUCAAGUCUGGGGUGAAAUCCCGCGGCUCAACCGUGGAACUGCCUUAGAUACUGACGGCCUUGAGGGAGGUAGGGGCAUGCGGAACUGUAGGUGGAGCGGUGAAAUGCGUUGAUAUCUACAGGAACUCCGGUGGCGAAAGCGGCGUGCUGGACCUUUUCUGACGCUGAGGCGCGAAAGCUAGGGGAGCAAACGGG